CGGGUGCACUGAUCCAGCCGGGCCUUUCCCUCUGUGGAACCCCAUGGCCUUCACUGGCUGUGGCGGGGAAACAGGACUUUUACUUUGAAAAAAUUAGAGUGCUCCAGGCAGGCCUAUGCUCGAAUACAUUAGCAUGGAAUAAUAGAAUAGGACGUGUGGUUCUAUUUUGUUGGUUUCUAGGACCGCCGUAAUGAUUAAUAGGGACAGUCGGGGGCAUCAGUAUUCAAUUGUCAGAGGUGAAAUUCUUGGAUCUAUUGAAGACUAACUACUGCGAAAGCAUUUGCCAAGGAUGUUUUCAUUGAUAAGGAACGAAAGUUAGGGGAUCGAAGACGAUCAGAUACCGUCGUAGUCUUAACUAUAAACUAUGCCGACUAGGGAUCGGACGAUGUUAUUCUUUGACGCGUUCGGCACCUUUCGAGAAAUCAAAGUGCUUGGGCUCCAGGGGGAGUAUGGUCGCAAGGCUGAAACUUAAAGAAAUUGACGGAAGGGCACUACCAGGGGUGGAACCUGCGGCUUAAUUUGACUCAACACGGGGAAACUCACCAGGUCCAGACACAGUGAGGAUUGACAGAUUGAGAGCUCUUUCUUGAUUCUGUGGGUGGUGGUGCAUGGCCGUUCUUAGUUGGUGGAGUGAUUUGUCUGCUUAAUUGCGAUAACGAACGAGACCUUAACCUGCUAAAUAGCCCGUACUGCUUUGGCAGUUCGCCGGCUUCUUAGAGGGACUAUCGG
rnacentral:rRNA from 1 species